rnacentral:rRNA from 1 species
CCUACGGGUGGCUGCAGUGGGGAAUAUUGCACAAUGGGCGCAAGCCUGAUGCAGCCAUGCCGCGUGUGUGAAGAAGGCCUUCGGGUUGUAAAGCACUUUCAGCGGGGAGGAAGGCGGUGAGGUUAAUAACCUCAUCGAUUGACGUUACCCGCAGAAGAAGCACCGGCUAACUCCGUGCCGGCAGCCGCGGUAAUACGGAGGGUGCAAGCGUUAAUCGGAAUUACUGGGCGUAAAGCGCACGCAGGCGGUCUGUCAAGUCGGAUGUGAAAUCCCCGGGCGCAACCUGGGAACUGCAUUCGAAACUGGCAGGCUAGAGUCUUGUAGAGGGGGGUAGAAUUCCAGGUGUAGCGGUGAAAUGCGUAGAGAUCUGGAGGAAUACCGGUGGCGAAGGCGGCCCCCUGGACAAAGACUGACGCUCAGGUGCGAAAGCGUGGGGAGCAAACAGGAUUAGAUACCCUAGUAGUC